CAGAAUGAAAAUAGUAGAUGUGAGUUCCAAAUCACAAGGGAAAAGUCAGGUUAAAAAAGUAACCUCAAUAUAAAAGGUGUAUUAAAAAUGACCAUAAAACAAAAUAGCAGAAAUAAAAUUAAGCAUAUAAAUCAUGUUAAUAAAAUGAUCAGGAUGAACUCUUAUUUUGAAUCACAGACUCACAUUUGGUUAAGAGUAAAAUCUAAAUACUGCGUUAGUGUACCCAGUUAAUCCAAAAAUAUUAAAAAUAAGGCAAUGGGCAAUGAUAUAGUGAAUGAAUCCCAACAAAAAGAGACAGGAGUGUGAAUAUGAACAGGAGACAAGGUGGAACUCAAGGCCAAAACAGCUAAAAGAAAAAAUCCACAAUGAAAGAAUGACAAUUUUGCACACUUCUAUGGUGAUUAAAAAAAAGCAUCAAAUGUAAUUAACAAAAGUUUUAGCAAUACAAAAGAAAAUAAGGGAAGCACUGUUGUUGUAGUAAUGUUAACAAACUUGUGUUGCAAGAAAUCACGUGGACAACAACCAAUAAGGGAGUAGAGGAUUCAAACCAUGUCACGUAUUUGUAUUGCACAAAUGGAUAAUGUAUUUUUCCAAAUAUACUUAGAAUAUUGAUCUACAAAUUGAUCAUAAAAACAUCUUAACACACUUCCCAAUUACCAGUUAAAAUUUGCAUUAGUGCCUAGUUUUUGGUUGUGUCAUAAAACACCCAGUGCUGUUGGGGGAUCCUCACAAUGAUGGCUAUUGUUAUCAUAAAAUAUUGACUGAGAGCCUGCAACGCACAUGUGCCCCUGCAGGGUGGCAUAGACGGCGAGCCCAGGGAGGCCACUGACAUGCAUUCAAGAGAAAAGAAAAGAAGCCAGGCUUUGGCAUAAGUGCUUCAUGGUGGAGUGAGAAUGGCUUGCCCUGGAAGGGUCAUGUUUUAGAAGGAGUGAUCUUCAUUGUGAAGUCUAAACUGUUCUGGAAAUAUAAGCUUUGAAACCCAGUACUGAAUUCUCACAGGAAGUCUCAGACGAAGACACUGCUAACUCCACUUUCAGAGAGAAACACUGAGGCUCAGAGCUAAACUAACUCGCCUCAGAGCCCACAUCCUGGACUUGAGCCUCAGGGUGUUGCAUGCCAAAGCCUGUCCUCUUCACCCCAGCUUCCUGGGCAUUGGAGCGGAUCCAUAGUGUUAGAUAUGCAGUGGGAAUGGCCCCCAUUCCAAGCCACUUCCUGACCUGAUGGCAGCACCCUGCUAGUCCUCACAUGGAGCCCUGGAGAAGCCGGGUUCCUUAACCCAGAUUUGAAUCAAUAGCCUCACACCUGGUAUGCACAUCCAGGCCAAGUGUGGCUGAAUGGGGAGCAUCUGUUCUGGAGACGGCCACCCUCAUGGGCUCCUCUGCUUCCUGUCCCUUCGGGCACUGAUUUAUGGCACACAGCAGGGAAGGGCCUGAGCUUGAGCCCUGACCAUCGUUAUCAUCACCAUCUUCAUUCCAGUGCAGUGAAGAACAUUCUGAAGGUAGAGAUGAAGGUCUUCUUUCUGAAUGAAGCUCCUUGCAUGAUUCAGGGAUCUUCCUCUUGAAGGCACCAAUCAUUUUGACUUUAAUGCAUGCACUCUGACUUACUUGUGGUGAUCUCUCCUGGAAAUACAUGGAAAAAUGAAAAAUAGGCUAACUGGGGAGAUUUCUUAAAUACCAGUUUGUAUGGCUGUGUUAACCUGAAUGAUUAAAUAUAGGAUUGUUUUUUAAGUUACACAUUGUGGGUUUGUGUUUUCCUCAUUAAUAUCAAUUGGUUCAUUUAUUUCUGCUUGCUCUGAAGCCACAGAGUUCAACAGAACUGCCUGUGUGUUUGCUGCAUCUACUAAACUGCCAUGAUCUUACUGAAUAUAUUUCUUAAUAUCCUUUUUAUGUAUGUCAUUUUUGUUAAGUUCUUGAACCAGAACUGAAAAAAAGAUUAAAACGUUAUCUAUUUACAAAACUUUUUUUGAUGUUUUGGUAACAAAACAAUUUUGCACUUAAAGUUCCCACUUCAGAUGUUAUUCUUUCUAUUUUUUUUUAUUUUUUAUUAUACUUUAAGUUCUAGGGCACAUGUGCACAGUGUGCAGGAUUGUUACAUAUGUACACAUGUGCCAUGUUGGUUUGGUGCACCCAUUAACUUGUCA
rnacentral:lncRNA from 1 species